rnacentral:rRNA from 1 species
CCUACGGGCGGCUGCAGUGGGGAAUAUUGGACAAUGGGCGAAAGCCUGAUCCAGCCAUGCCGCGUGUGUGAAGAAGGCCUUCGGGUUGUAAAGCACUUUCAGUGGGGAAGAAAGCCUUGGGGCUAAUACCCUCGAGGAAGGACAUCACCUACAGAAGAAGCACCGGCUAACUCCGUGCCAGCAGCCGCGGUAAUACGGAGGGUGCGAGCGUUAAUCGGAAUUACUGGGCGUAAAGCGCGCGUAGGCGGUCUGAUAAGCCGGUUGUGAAAGCCCCGGGCUCAACCUGGGAACGGCAUCCGGAACUGUCAGGCUAGAGUGCAGGAGAGGAAGGUAGAAUUCCCGGUGUAGCGGUGAAAUGCGUAGAGAUCGGGAGGAAUACCAGUGGCGAAGGCGGCCUUCUGGACUGACACUGACGCUGAGGUGCGAAAGCGUGGGUAGCAAACAGGAUUAGAUACCCGGGUAGUC